rnacentral:rRNA from 1 species
UACGAAGGGGGCUAGCGUUGCUCGGAAUCACUGGGCGUAAAGCGCACGUAGGCGGCUUUUUAAGUCAGGGGUGAAAUCCCGGAGCUCAACUCCGGAACUGCCUUUGAUACUGGGAAGCUUGAGUCCGGAAGAGGUGAGUGGAACUCCGAGUGUAGAGGUGAAAUUCGUAGAUAUUCGGAAGAACACCAGUGGCGAAGGCGGCUCACUGGUCCGGUACUGACGCUGAGGUGCGAAAGCGUGGGGAGCAAACAGG